rnacentral:rRNA from 1 species
UACAGAGGGGGCUAGCGUUAUUCGGAAUUAUUGGGCGUAAAGGGCGCGUAGGCGGCCAUGCGUGUCUUCCGUGAAAUCCCUCGGCUUAACUGAGGACGUGCGGAAGAAACUGCAAGGCUCGAGUCCGGGAGAGGGGGGUGGAAUUCCCAGUGUAGCGGUGAAAUGCGUAGAUAUCUGGAGGAACACCGGUGGCGAAGGCGGCAUCCUGGACCAACAUUGACGCUGAGGAGCGAAAGCUAGGGGAGCAAACGGG